GCACCAGUGGUGUAUGGCACACCUGCUGGUAUAUGUGAUUUAGAACUAGAUUGGUAACAGCAGAUUGGGGUUCAAUUCCCCGCUGGUGCA